GCCCGCUGGUAGGCAGCAUGGAGGGUAAUUUGGACGGGACUAAACAGGAGACAGGGAGACCAGCUAGGAAGCAGCUGCUACCAUACAGACUUGCUGUUCAGAACUGGAACCAGAAUGUUUUGAAUCAAAGCUCACCUCUGACCCCUCCCAGUCCCUCAUCUCCAUGUGCUAAAGAGAUGGGGUCUGUGUGUCCUUUCCUUGAACCUGCGUGGACCUUGAUGACUGCCUUGACCAACAGAGUGUGGCAGCAGUGACAUUAUUGGGGGCUUCCCUGGUGGCGCAGUGGAUAAGCAUCUGCCUGCCAAUGCAGGGGACACGGGUUCGAUCCCUGGUCCGGGAAGAUCCCAUAUGCCAUGGAGCAACUAAGCCUGUGCGCUACAACUACUGAGCCUGCGCUCUAGAGCUUGCAUGCUGCACCUACUGAGCCCGCUACUGAAGCCCACGUGUGUAGAGCCCAUGCUCCGCAACAAGAGAAGCCACCGCAAGGAGAAGACCGCGCACCGCAACGAAGAGUAGCCCCUGCUCGCCACAACUAGAGAAAGCCCGUGCGUGGCAACGAAGACCCAAUGCAGCCAAAAAUAAGAAAAUAAAUAAAUUUUAAAUCUUAAAAAAAAAAAAAAAGUGACACUAUUUUUAUGACUAAGUCUAGGUCAUAAAAAUGCCAAGCAUGUCUGCUUUGUUCUCUUGGAGAAUUCAUUGUGGUGCAAGCCAGCUACCAUGACUGCCCUAAAACUGCCAUGCUGUGAGGAAGCCCAAACUCUUUAUGUGGAGGGAUCAUGUGGAGAAGUCCAGAGAAGGGUGCUUGGCUAUCCCCCAGAUGCUCAGCCCUCUGCUGUUCCAUCUUCAGCUGCUGUCUAACUACAUCACAUGGGGGACCCUGAUCCAGAACAGCCCAGCUGUACCCUUUCCAAAUUCCUUGCCCACAGAAAUCACGAGAGGGAAGACAACGAUUGCUGUUAUUUUAAGCCAGGAAGGUUUGAUAUGAUUUGUUACACAGCAAUAGAUAAUCCAAAUGGGUUUAUACUUAUUUUAUUAUCAGUCUUUCCUGGUAGACUGUAGUUUCUGUUUUCUGCUCUAUCCCCAGCAGUUAGCCCGGAAUGUACUAUGCUCCACAGAUAUUUGUUGUAUAAAUGAAAGUUAACAGACCAUAUCAGCAUGGUGUUGGGGGAACCAAAGGGGUGUAGGAGCCCAGGGGGGCUCCUAACCCAGACUGGGAGAUCUGGGAAGGCUCCCUGGAGGAAGCGAUGCUGCUCUGAGUCCCUGGGCAGGGCUAGACACACAGGAAUAUUAUUCCUCAUCUCUGUUGCUGCUUGUUUGUUCUUGGCCCAAAUGAGGCUUCCUGGCUUGAUGUGCAUCCACUAGGCCCAUCCCUGUGUCCAUUUGCGGGCUUCCUCUUCCCCCUCCCUGUUGCAGGUGCAGUUCUCUUUUCUCCCUCCCUUGUUGGGCCUGUGGGCUCACUCCUGCCUCCUCUGACUCUGGGUCUGGCUGGAGAAAAUUAAGUCAAUGGGGAGGGAGGAGUUGACAAAUAGAUGGUCUAGUAAUUGAAUUUUUUUUUUUUUUUGGCUCUAGCCCUCUCUCCACCCCACAGAGAGCAGGAGGAACUAGCUCUCUAGACAGUGGUUUUUCUUUGCUAAGGAGCUCUGGUGUUGCCUUCCCUGCCUAGACCAGCCGGGAGGAGAGGGGAGUGGCAA